UAAGAGCUACACGCACGGGCUACGGAGGGGGAGAGCGCAUGAGGAAGUUGUGUUGUUGUUGUGAUGACGGAGUGGAUGUAGCGGCCGGAGAAUUGUCUGUACUGUAACUUUGUUACUCAGUGUUAGAUUAAUAAAUCCUCAAAGAAAGUAAAGCGGACUUUUAUUCACCAACCCCGGGACGAAGGGAAUUAACCCCAAAGUUUACUUAGCCGACAGUACUUUGGCCCUGGAGCAGACAGCAACGCCUCCCCCUGCAAACUCCGACUACGGUCAGAGACGGACCGGCAGGAAAGCGUGCAGCCGGGCGCAGCUAAAUGACACGUAAUGUAUUAUGGCCCGUGCAAAGUCAUGCCACCAGUCUGAGGACAUCACUGGGAAUGGCACAUGGGACACGUGGCUUUCAACUCCAGCGAGGUGGGAAAGCAUUUCUUUAUGUAUAUUUUGUUCUGUCUGCAUAAUUGUAAAAGACUUCUUCCCGCAUUCGUACAACAGCAUUCCAUAUCGUGUGACUGUCGAUGGAUGUAAUAAUUUGGCCUUCUUUUUUUCUUCCACCACACGGCACGGGUGGGCUUCACCGCGGGCAAUCGUGGCAAAGACCCAAGUCGACUGGACCACAGCGGAAAAUGAUCCUUCCAGAGAAGAAGUUAUUUACUUCUACAACGAAUGGAAGAGUUACAACUUCCAGAUGACAGCUCGCCGCUCAUCCUUCUGGGCAACUUGAACAUCCGACAGAACUUAUGUGACCUACUGCGUUUAUUUUCUCCUUUAGCUCUCAUUUAAGUAUUAAAAUUCGCUGUAUUUUUGCAAGAGAGGCACCAAUCCUAUUUGAGUGACGUUUCGAUUGUGAAAUUGUAUUGGACCAUAUAGGUCAUCUGCAGAGCGUUGGCCCCUGGCGCAGUAAACCAGGGUUUGAUUCUUGGCAUGCACAAGACUCCUCAUGUGACUUUAAAUGAAUCCAGAAUGCAAUAUUUGUUCAGUAUGCAAGGGCAGUGAUUUAUUUAGUCAUGUUUGGUCAUGUUUUGGUUUUUUUACAUGACAAUAUGGUUUGGUACAUGCUGAGUUAAUGAAUAUACAUUCUAAAGUGCAAUGUCCAUAUGUGAAUAAGAGUUGUAUACGUUUAUCAUAGUCAACAUGGUGUGGAAAUAUCCCUUAUGUAGUUGGUCAAUGGGAACUAUAGUAGGCCGUAAUAACAGCUAAGGUAAUUACAGGUGGAUAUUUCUGGGAAUUAACCUUAAAUGAGACUGCAUUUAUGAUAUCUAAGAUAUACAGGACAAGAAAAAUGCACUGGAUGUGUAUAUGUGUUGAAUCAAUUAUACAGACGCAAACUGGAGAACGAGACAA